AACGAACGCUGGCGGCAAGCUUAACACAUGCAAGUCGAGCGCCCCGCAAGGGGAGCGGCAGACGGGUGAGUAACGCGUGGGAAUCUACCCAUCUCUACGGAAUAACGCAUGGAAACGUGUGCUAAAACCGUAUACGUCCUUCGGGAGAAAGAUUUAUCGGAGAUGGAUGAGCCCGCGUUGGAUUAGCUAGUUGGUGGGGUAAAGGCCUACCAAGGCGACGAUCCAUAGCUGGUCUGAGAGGAUGAUCAGCCACACUGGGACUGAGACACGGCCCAGACUCCUACGGGAGGCAGCAGUGGGGAAUAUCGGACAAUGGGCGCAAGCCUGAUCCAGCCAUGCCGCGUGAGUGAUGAAGGCCCUAGGGUUGUAAAGCUCUUUCACCGGUGAAGAUAAUGACGGUAACCGGAGAAGAAGCCCCGGCUAACUUCGUGCCAGCCGCCGCAGUAAUAC
rnacentral:rRNA from 1 species